rnacentral:tRNA from 1 species
GGGCCAGUGGUCUAGUGGCUAUAAAUUAUGAGAUUUUCUCGUGAUUGAUUAAGACGCCACGCUUACACCGUGGAUAUCGGGAGUUCGAACCUCUCCUGGCCCA